CUAGCAGAUUUUUAACGACACACACAUGCUAGAUACUAUAUCUCGGGUGCCUAAGGGUUGAAAUAUAGGGCGUGUGGAGGUUUAAC
rnacentral:sRNA from 1 species